CCGCAUACGCUCUACGGAGGAAAGAGGGGGCUUCGGCUCUCGCUAUUGGAUGGGCCUGCGCGAGAUUAGCUAGUUGGUGAGGUAAUGCUCACCAAGGCGACGAUCUCUAGCUGGUCUGAGAGGAUGAUCAGCCACACUGGACUGAGACACGGCCCAGACUCCUACGGGAGGCAGCAGUGGGGAAUAUUGCACAAUGGGCGCAAGCCUGAUGCAGCCAUGCCGCGUGUGUGAAGAAGGCUUUCGGGUUGUAAAGCACUUUCAGUGGGGAGGAAGGCCUCGUAGUUAAUAGCUGCGAGGAUUGACGUUACCCACAGAAGAAGCACCGGCUAACUCCGUG
rnacentral:rRNA from 1 species